rnacentral:rRNA from 1 species
GAACGCUGGCGGCGUGCCUAAUACAUGCAAGUCGAACGCACUCUCGUUUAGAUUGAAAGGAGCUUGCUCCUGAUUGAUAAACAUUUGAGUGAGUGGCGGACGGGUGAGUAACACGUGGGUAACCUGCCUAAAGUGGGGGAUAACAUUUGGAAACAGAUGCUAAUACCGCAUAAAACCUAACACCGCAUGGUGUAGGGUUGAAAGAUGGUUUCGGCUAUCACUUUGGGAUGGACCCGCGGUGCAUUAGUUAGUUGGUGAGGUAAAGGCUCACCAAGACCGUGAUGCAUAGCCGACCUAAGAGGGUAAUCGGCCACACUGGGACUGAGACACGGCCCAGACUCCUACGGGAGGCAGCAGUAGGGAAUCUUCCACAAUGGACGAAAGUCUGAUGGAGCAACGCCGCGUGAGUGAAGAAGGUUUUCGGAUCGUAAAACUCUGUUGUUGGAGAAGAAUGUAUCUGAUAGUAACUGAUCAGGUAGUGACGGUAUCCAACCAGAAAGCCACGGCUAACUACGUG